rnacentral:lncRNA from 1 species
AUUAGACUCAAAUUUUUUAAAUAAAAUCCAUGCUUCUUGGAUUUAAUUAGGAGGCUAAAUCUACUAAAGGCGACGCAGUCAAAUUUCUAAGCAUGGAUUAACCAUUUAUGAAAUUGAUAGAUACCUUGCAACAACAACAUUGUUACCAAAAAUAUUAUAGUUUGUGCUCAAUAUAUAAACUUAUUGCAAAAAUACAAUCCCAAAAAUAAAAGGAAAAUAAAGCAAAACAGGGACAUAGAUGGAAUUGACAACUUUAAUAUAUGAAACAACAAACAUAAAGGAUUGAAUGAACCAUUUGAUCCAAUCCAAAGUCACAAUUCCUUGACAUUAAAAAGAAAAAUGAAAAUUACAAAAUGAUUCACCAUAAACAUUCACAUUUUCACAUGCAUCAAACUAAGCAAAGCAAAUUCAAUUACAGACAUAUAAAAGAAUAAGAGAUUUGUAUGUAACAAUUUUUUAGUAUAUGCAAACUAUUACACAUAUACAACAUAUUUGUGAUCUUGAUCAACAAACUUUCAAGCCUUUGGUGGUUCUACUUGUUCAACCGCAGCUGGUUCAACCGGUUUUUCCUCCUGUUUCUCGGCAGGAGGAGGAGUCGGCUCAGCUGCAUCCUUUUCUUCAACCUUCUCUGCAACAGAUUCAAUUUUCUCACUUGUUUCUUCCUUUUUCUCUUCUUCAACAACUAUUUCCCUCUCUUUCACACCACUUGUUUCAUCUUCUGUUUUUGUUUCUGUAGUAGCUGGUGCUUCUUCAACUUUCUCUUCUGUGACUAUGAAAGUUGAUACCUUCUCAAAAACAAAGAAAACUGGACCUGAAACUAAGGCUGGUCCAAACUUGGAUGAUGCUUCAGAUACUGCUUUUGAUCCAGGAAAAUCUGAAAUAUAUAUACUCACUUGUAUCAAUAUAUUUUUCUUCAAAAAUAAACAAAAAAUCCAAGUUGUAAUUAACUUUAAAACAAAUAAAAUUGAUGAAAAAUCUAUAAAUACUUUACCAAUUUUAACAAGUUCUUCUAUGAAUUUGUGAACUUCUGUUGAGUUCUUCUUUAGACCUGCUUGAUCACGUUCUUUGACCAAACUCUGUAAAGGUGAUAUUGAAAAUUUUCCAUCAAUAUUAGUGUCCUUUUCACUUCUUAAAUUUUAUAUUUUGGCACCUACAGAUGUACAAACAUACUCCUUCCGUAACAAAAUAUAAAUAAAAAUCUCAUGUAUGUGGCCCAAAUUUUAACCAGAUACCGUCUAAAUGAAUCUGAUCUAAAUUUAGACCAAAUAUAUAUACUUUUUUGCUUAUAUAUUUUGUUACGGAGGGAAUACAUGAAUAUAGAUCAUGUAUAUGUGUAUGUAUAUAGAUAUGUAUACUUAAUUAUAUAAGUAUAUUCUUCUUACCUUGAUUUCAGUUGAAGAUGCUUCAUAUACCGCAAGUACUUUUGUUUGAAGUUCAGUUUUCUUUUCCUCAAACUCUUUAUUGAUUCCCUCCUAAACAAAAUACCAAACCACAUCAAAUAUAUGAACUAGUUUUUCAUUUUCAACGUAUAUAAAAAACCAUAAGACAAAAAAAAAAAACACUCGAUAAAAUUUAAGAAAACAAACCUUUGACUCAUCAAAGGUCUUGGAAACCUCAGCAGCAGCUGUUUUCUUAGUACUAUUCUUCUCAAAAACCUUCUUGAUCUUGGGAAGAACCUUUGUUGUCCAGUAACCCAUCUUUUGCUUCCAAAUGUUUUUUUUUUCUUCUGUGUUUUUCUCUGUGGUCCUUAACCUUGAGUUCUUAUAACUAUCAAAGUCGAACUCAACUCAAGCCACUUGUCU